GAAAGUUCUCAAUGAGUUAAAUGCUCCUGCAAUUUAUUUGGGUAGUUUUUAUAAUCGAUUUUCUUGAUAUGCCAAAAUGUGUUCAGAAUGUUCUAAAACGCUAAGAUCUGAUUCCAAAAUUCUAAUUUUUCGAGGACGGCAACGAUGAGUUUAAUUUUUUUUAAAGAUUUAUACAGAAGAUACGUAAUGUAGCUACGCUCAAAGGAAACGAAGAAUCGAGAUCAGUUCCGCAAAUGUUAAAAUUAUCGUUGACAGAUGGAAAGAAUAAUUUUCAAGCCUUAGAAGUUGAACAUAUAUCGGCUUUAAGUUAGUUAAAACACGCCACCUGGUACAAAAAUACUGAUAAAAUCAGGAACUCUACCUGUGUCACAUGGACUUUCUUUAUUGACACCAGCGCAUUUAAUUUACGUACUUGGGGGAAAAGUUGCCAGUUUAGUGAAAAAAUGGGAAUUAGAUAAGAAAUUAGCUUCAUUCUUGAAUAACAUCUGCCGAGGAAGAUGAGCCACUACCGUGGAUACUAUUUGGUAAAAAAAUCGUAAAAGUAUUCGAGCAAGAUAAAAACUUCAAAGCCCCGGCAGAAACAGAAAAACCUAGCAAGGAGAAUAUGUAGUUUGAAGCUCAGCGCAAUUAAGGAUGCGAUAGCGGAAGCUGCCAAGCAAGGCAGCAAGAAAGUAUUUGGCGACGAGACUAAACAGGUGUUUAUCACGGGAAUGCGAAACCUUCUUCAGUUAGCGAAUAUUUGAAAGAUUUCAUUACUGAAAGCAAAAAACUAAUAGAAGAAGGAUUUCAAUAUGUAGGAAAAUAUUACAAGGUUGUAAUAAACGCAGUAAUCUGCGAUACCCCAGCUCGAUCGUAUGUAAAAUGCGUGAAAAGUCAUAAUGGUUCGAAUUGGUGGCAAAACU